AUGAUUAUGAACCUUUGUUUAGAUUCAACACGAGCCUUGUGUUGAUUCUCGGUCUAGGGAUGGUGAUUGAUUUUAGUUACGCGUUUAAUCACAUUAAGGCGUGUUGUCUUAGGGGCGUUGGACCCAACUACUUCAUUUUCAUGCAUAUCAUAUAAAGCAAGAAAGAAGUACUUCAAAGUAAAGGUGAGCUUAUGCUCAUUACAACAUUUGCAUAAAACAAAUUACC
rnacentral:lncRNA from 1 species